rnacentral:rRNA from 1 species
CAGUCGCCGCGGUAAUACGGAGGGUGCAAGCGUUAAUCGGAAUUACUGGGCGUAAAGCGCACGCAGGCGGUCUGACAAGUCAGAUGUGAAAUCCCCGGGCUUAACCUGGGAACUGCAUUUGAAACUGUCAGGCUGGAGUCUUGUAGAGGGGGGUAGAAUUCCAGGUGUAGCGGUGAAAUGCGUAGAGAUCUGGAGGAAUACCGGUGGCGAAGGCGGCCCCCUGGACAAAGACUGACGCUCAGGUGCGAAAGCGUGGGGAGCAAACAGGAUUUGAUACCCCUGUAGUCCCUGUCUCUUAUAC